CCUACGGGAGGCAGCAGUGGGGAAUAUUGCACAAUGGGGGAAACCCUGAUGCAGCGACGCCGCGUGAGUGAAGAAGUAUUUCGGUAUGUAAAGCUCUAUCAGCAGGGAAGAAAAUGACGGUACCUGAUCAAGAAGACCCGGCUAACUACGUGCCAGCAGCCGCGGGAAUACGUAGGGAGCAAGCGUUAUCCGGCUUUACUGGGUGUAAAGGGAGCGUAGUCGGCAGCACAAGUCUGGAGUGAAAUGCCGCGGCUUAACCCCGGAACUGCUUUGGAAACUGUGCAGCUAGAGGGCAGGCGAGGGAAGUGGAAUUCCUAGUGUAGCGGGGAAAUGCGUAGAGAUUAGGAGGAACACCAGUGGCGAAGGCGGCUUACUGGACUGUAACUGACGUUGAGGCUCGAAAGCGUGGGGAGCAAACAGGAUUAGAUACCCGGGUAGUC
rnacentral:rRNA from 1 species